rnacentral:rRNA from 1 species
GACGAACGCUGGCGGCGUGCUUAACACAUGCAAGUCGAACGGUAAGGCCCUUCGGGGUACACGAGUGGCGAACGGGUGAGUAACACGUGGGUGAUCUGCCCUGCACUUCGGGAUAAGCCUGGGAAACUGGGUCUAAUACCGGAUAGGACCACUGCCUGCAUGGGUGGUGGGGGAAAGCUUUUGCGGUGUGGGAUGGGCCCGCGGCCUAUCAGCUUGUUGGUGGGGUGAUGGCCUACCAAGGCGACGACGGGUAGCCGGCCUGAGAGGGUGACCGGCCACACUGGGACUGAGAUACGGCCCAGACUCCUACGGGAGGCAGCAGUGGGGAAUAUUGCACAAUGGGCGCAAGCCCGAUGCAGCGACGCCGCGUGAGGGAUGACGGCCUUCGGGUUGUAAACUUCUUUCAGCACCGACGAAGCGCAAGUGACGGUAGGUGCAGAAGAAGGACCGGCCAACUACGUGCCAGCAGCCGCGGUAA